CCCUGCCCUUUGUACACACCGCCCGUCGCUCCUACCGAUUUCGAGUGAUGUGGUGAACUAUCUGGACUGUGAGAGGGCUUGAACCUUUUGCAGGAAGUUUCGUAAACCUUAUCACUUAGAGGAAGGAGAAGUCG
rnacentral:rRNA from 1 species